rnacentral:rRNA from 1 species
AACGCUAGCUACAGGCUUAACACAUGCAAGUCGAGGGGCAGCAUUAGGUAGCAAUACUGAGAUGGCGACCGGCGCACGGGUGCGUAACGCGUAUCCAACUUUCCCGUUACUCUGGGAUAGCCUUCCGAAAGGGAGAUUAAUACCGGAUGGUGUUUGAAUUCCGCAUGUUAUUCAAACUAAAGAUUUAUCGGUAACGGAUAGGGAUGCGUGACAUUAGGUAGAUGGCGGGGUAACGGCCCACCAUGCCUGCGAUGUCUAGGGGUUCUGAGAGGAAGGUCCCCCACACUGGAACUGAGACACGGUCCAGACUCCUACGGGAGGCAGCAGUGAGGAAUAUUGGUCAAUGGUCGGAAGACUGAACCAGCCAAGUAGCGUGAAGGAUGAAGGUUCUAUGGAUUGUAAACUUCUUUUAUAUAGGAAUAAAACCUCCCACGUGUGGGAGCUUGUAUGUACUAUAUGAAUAAGCAUCGGCUAACUCCGUGCCAGCAGCCGCGGUAAUACGGAGGAUGCGAGCGUUAUCCGGAUUUAUUGGGUUUAAAGGGAGCGUAGACGGGAUGUUAAGUCAGUUGUGAAAGGCUGCGGCUCAACCGCAGCACUGCAGUUGAUACUGGCGUCCUUGAGUGCGGUUGAGGUGUGUGGAAUUCGUGGUGUAGCGGUGAAAUGCUUAGAUAUCACGAAGAACUCCGAUUG